CACCUCUGUAGCAUCUUUAGGGAGUGGGUCAGAAUUGGCCGCAGGAGCCCCUGAGGCACUGAUGGUGAUACCCACAGUCCGAGGAGCAGCAGUGAACCUCUGAGCUGCUUGCCAAGUGGCCCUUAACAAGCCAGUGCUUUGCAGGGCAGGCUCAGGCACAGGCUUACUGUAGCUUGCGAAAUGACAAGGAUUGUGAUUUGAGGUCCCAGAAAAGGGUAGAACAACUCUACCAGCCAUAGCUCUAAUUAUCACAGUUGCCCAUAUGUUCCUAGGCACAGAUUUUUUUUCUUCAGCUUUGGUCUCCUGCUGUGCUCUUCUGUGUCACUAUCUCUGGGCUUGGCUGCUAGAAGGAUGUGUAUACACGUCUUGUUGGGGAAGGAAGGGAAAUAGCCUCACCACAUUUUUCCUCCUCUAAAUUCGAUUUUCCCCUCUCCUCUCCCAUUUCUACUUCAGUUCUUCCCUGCAAAAUUAGUUCCUUGCUUUGCAGAAGGAAGCUAAGCCCUUCAUUAUUUAUUCCUUCUCUCCCUUGGUAAUGUGGAGUCCAGACUCCUUAUGCAUGCAGAUAGGAGCUUUUGGGAAAAUGGGAGGUUUUCUUACAUGCUUGUGGACAGUUAUUAAAUGCUUCCAGAAGGAAGUGCAAAAAUACACUUUCCUUUCCACCUCUUAAACACAGCAUUUUGCUCCUGGUAAUAAAACAGGAGAGCACCUCCACAUCUCAGGAAGUGAGAUUGGUGAGGGAGAUAGCAGGGGUUACGGGGAAGUGUAGAAGGAGAGGAGAGGCAGAGUAAUAAGGCUUAAUUAUAUUAGUUUUGAAAAAGGUUUUCAAUCUUUUCUGCGGAUAAUUUUAUCCCUGUAAUGGCUGGGAAGAUGGAAAACACAGCAUUCAACAAUCUUUUCUUAUUAGCUGUUGCUUUUAUACAAUUCGAUUUUCAUUUGUUGCAUACUCUCAGACCUUGACAUUUCUAGCUUCCUUACACAUGGCUCCAAGAUCUUCUAAUCAUCAUGCCCCUUCCCUUUCCUCACCCCUCCCCUUCCUCCCCUUCCUUCCCUUCCCCCCAUUUGCUCUCCCCCCCCUCCCCUCUGUCACCUCAUCUUUAUUUCUUCAUUUCAAGUUUGGACAUUGACAGUGGACACUUAUUAUAGGGAUGUGGAUUGGCUGCGUUGCCAUCCUUGACCUCCCUGAAGAACUCCGAGUGCCAUCACAAGCCAGGGCAGUUGGGGCGGGAAAGGUGGAAGCCUGGGGCUUUGGAGUGUUUCCAAGGCUAGCUUAAAGCUCACUGCCCGUCCACCUGUAGGAUUCGACCCUGGAGUGCUUUGUGACCCUGUUGUACAGCAGUGCUUUUCCCUGAGUUGAUCAUUCUUUGGAGUGGAAAUCACAGUUUGCAGGGCUCCUAAGCUUUAUGAUCUUC